rnacentral:rRNA from 1 species
AUUGAACGCUGGCGGAAUGCUUUACACAUGCAAGUCGAACGGCAGCACGGACUUCGGUCUGGUGGCGGGUGGCGAACGGGUGAGUAAUGUAUCGGAACGUGCCCAGUCGUGGGGGAUAACGUAGUGAAAAUUACGCUAAUACCGCAUACGAUCUAUGGAUGAAAGCGGGGGAUAGCAAGACCUAGCGCGAUUGGAGCGGCCGAUAUCAGAUUAGGUAGUUGGUGGGGUAAAGGCCCACCAAGCCAACGAUCUGUAGCUGGUCUGAGAGGACGACCAGCCAAACUGGAACUGAGACACGGUCCAGACUCCUACGGGAGGCAGCAGUGGGGAAUUUUGGACAAUGGGCGAAAGCCUGAUCCAGCCAUUCCGCGUGCAGGAUGAAGGCCCUCGGGUUGUAAACUGCUUUUGUACAGAACGAAAAGGUUUCUACUAGUACUAGGAGCUCAUGACGGUACUGUAAGAAUAAGCACCGGCUAACUACGUGCCAGCAGCCGCCGUAA